CGGGGCUCUGCGGGGGAGGGGGGUUGGGGGGAGGGAGGCAGGGAGGCGGGCCCGCGCACCAGAGGCUGGCCAGCGGGGUAGAGCGGUGGAGGGUGGGCUUUGCCUCCUCCCCUCCUCUUUCGGGGCAGACCCAGAGAGGGGUCAGGCUCAGAGUUGGGGACGCCGCUGGCAUCUGAAGACCCGAUGGGGAGUUCCUGUAAGGGGUUGGGGAGGGAGCUGAGCGUUGCUUCCUCUACCGCUUCGGUCAAGUACCGACCCUCCCCACCUGCCAGAUUCACCUCCAGACUGCAGUGCUUUUGUCCUGGGGAAGUUGAGGAGGACCCCCUGAGUGGAUGGUAUUUUGGGGUUCCCAGCCUGGAGUGAUGCUCAGUUGGAUUGGUCUUGGUGCAGCUUCACUCAGAGAACAUCCCCAGGAUCCCUCACUGCCAUAGUGCUAUAGAUUUCCUUGUCUGACUGAUGCUGGGAUCCUUGUGCCACCACACUUCUGUCAUCCUUUCCAUUCUGGCUUGAGACCUGGUGAGCUGAUUCCUGUUGCAUCUGGCAUUUCUGAACUUCCCAGCUUUCUUUUCAAAGGCUGGAUACUGUAACAGAACACUUGGAUUUUGGUGUAACCUGCCAGCGUGUUUCUGAACCUCUCCCCCGAGGAAGCGAGCGGGUAAGAAGGGUCUCUCAUUGUCCCCUGGGCCUGGAUGAACCCUCCAGCUGAGGCGAGGACUAAGAAGACCUGGACCUAAGGAGGCUCCCAUCGCUCAGCUAACUGGCACCCCCCCUUCUUCUGGAGAACUGCUGCUCUUGGGGCCUGCCAGGAAUAACUCAAGUCACCUUUACUGGAAGUCACUUUGCUGAAACUAUUGAAAGAGCCAUUCUUGAAGUUGAAGAAAAGAUCUCUCUACAGGAGAUUCUGCGCCUUGACCAGAGGAGUGUGGCCCUUCCUUCAAAAUCCUCUGUGGACACGCCCUCCUAGCGUCCCUGGGGAAAGAUGCGGCAGCUCAAGGGGAAGCCCAAGAAGGAGACGUCCAAGGACAAGAAGGAGCGGAAGCAGGCCAUGCAGGAGGCCCGGCAGCAGAUCACCACGGUGGUGCUGCCCACGCUGGCCGUCGUCGUGCUCCUGAUCGUGGUGUUCGUGUACGUGGCCACGCGCCCCACCGUCACCGAGUGAGCCCUGUGGCUGGGUGGACUCCCCCAUCAGGGAGCGGAGGUGCGGGAGGGGGCGAGCAAGAGAGAAAUGGCUUUCCUAUUCGGAGAUGUGCCUGAUGCUGAGCUCUGAGCAGAGCACCCUGUCUUCUCUGAUCUCUGACUUGAUUAAAGUUUCUCCACUUUUCUUGGGAGGGAGUAGGGAACGUUUUAUCAGUGAACGUGCCAUACACUUUAUGGUCCACUUCAUGUGCCUUUCAGACUUCAAAGCAGUCUGUGUGUUUCUUUUUUUCUUCUGAAAUCGAUGUGUAGCUCCACCUGGUGAGAGGAGGCAUCUCUGGGUCCUGAAUCGGUUGGAAUCAGCGCUCACCCCAUUCCCAUUGUUUUGAACAUGACUCUUGCCUACAUGUGUUCACAAUUUCCAAAGGGACUGUGUUUCUUCUCUGUGCUUAAUGUGAUUUGAAAUAUGUCAACUCAAAAGUGAAAUAUUUAUUUUUUGAAUAAAGGAGAUAAUAGCCUUAAA